rnacentral:lncRNA from 1 species
AGAGACGGGGAAGUAGAUGAGUUCUCCGGCAGCGUGACGGUGCGCUAGUGAUGGUGAUGAUCUACUCCUGCACGGCUCCGCUCGAGCUCCGUAGAAAUCCGAUCUAGAGGAAGAACUACGUGGUAUAGUUUUGAGUUGCACGUGGCAAAGUUGUGUCUCAAAAGCCCUAAAACCAUCAAUAUAUAUAGGAGGAGGAGAGGGGCUAGCCUUUGGGAUCAAGGGAGC